rnacentral:rRNA from 1 species
GACGAACGCUGGUGGCGUGCUUAACACAUGCCAGUCGAACGGGAUUUAGUAAACAGAAGCCUCGGUGGAAGAUUACUAAUGAGAGUGGCGAACGGGUGAGUAACGCGUGAGCAACCUGCCUAUGACAGUGGGAUAGCCUCGGGAAACCGGGAUUAAUACCGCAUAAAAUCGUAGAAACACAUGUUUUAACGGUCAAAGAUUUAUCGGUCAUAGAUGGGCUCGCGUCUGAUUAGCUAGUUGGUGAGAUAACAGCCCACCAAGGCGACGAUCAGUAGCCGGUCUGAGAGGAUGAACGGCCACAUUGGAACUGAGACACGGUCCAAACUCCUACGGGAGGCAGCAGUGGGGAAUAUUGCACAAUGGGGGAAACCCUGAUGCAGCGACGCCGCGUGAACGAAGAAGGUAUUCGUAUCGUAAAGUUCUGUCCUAUGGGAAGAUAAUGACAGUACCAUAGAAGAAAGCGCCGGCUAAAUACGUG